UACGAAGAGGGCUAGCGUUGCUCGGAAUCACUGGGCGUAAAGCGCACGUAGGCGGAUUGUUAAGUCGGGGGUGAAAUCCUGGAGCUCAACUCCAGAACUGCCUUCGAUACUGACGAUCUCGAGUCCGGGAGAGGUGAGUGGAACUCCGAGUGUAGAGGUGAAAUUCGUAGAUAUUCGGAAGAACACCAGUGGCGAAGGCGGCUCACUGGCCCGGUACUGACGCUGAGGUGCGAAAGCGUGGGGAGCAAACAGG
rnacentral:rRNA from 1 species